rnacentral:misc_RNA from 1 species
CCCAGGCCGCUGUCGAGAAGGUCGAGCAGUAUCUGGCGAAGCGCUCCGGCAUCGAGGACGUGACCUUCCUCACCGGCUUCAGCUUCCUGGNAGGCCAGAACACCGCGCAGGCGUUCGUCACGCUGAAGGACUGGUCGGAGCGCGGGCCGAACGAUUCCGCCGCCGCCAUCGUGGCGGAUAUCAAUAACUCGCUGAAGUCGAUCCGNAAGGUCUCGGCGUUGCAGCCGCCGCCGAUCGACAACCUCGGCAACUCGUCCGGCUUCUCG